rnacentral:rRNA from 1 species
UACGUAGGGGGCUAGCGUUGUCCGGAAUCAUUGGGCGUAAAGCACGUGUAGGCGGCCCGGUAAGUCCGCUGUGAAAGUCGGGGGCUCAACCCUCGAAAGCCGGUGGAUACUGUCGGGCUCGAGUGCGGGAGAGGCGAGUGGAAUUCCUGGUGUAGCGGUGAAAUGCGCAGAUAUCAGGAGGAACACCGAUUGCGAAGGCAGCUCGCUGGAACGUAACUGACGCUGAGACGCGAAAGCGUGGGGAGCAAACAGG